GGUUAAGCGACUAAGCGUACACGGUGGAUGCCCUGGCAGUCAGAGGCGAUGAAGGGCGUGCUAAUCUGCGAUAAGCGCCGGUAAGGUGAUAUGAACCGUUAUAACCGGCGAUACCCGAAUGGGGAAACCCAGUGUGAUUCGUCACACUAUCAUUAACUGAAUCCAUAGGUUAAUGAGGCGAACCGGGGGAACUGAAACAUCUAAGUACCCUGAGGAAAAGAAAUCAACCGAGAUUCCCCCAGUAGCGGCGAGCGAACGGGGAGGAGCCCAGAGCCUGAAUCAGCAUGUGUGUUAGUGGAAGCGUCUGGAAAGGCGCGCGAUACAGGGUGACAGCCCCGUACACAAAAGCGCAUGUGCUGUGAGCUCGAUGAGUAGGGCGGGACACGUGGUAUCCUGUCUGAAUAUGGGGGGACCAUCCUCCAAGGCUAAAUACUCCUGACUGACCGAUAGUGAACCAGUACCGUGAGGGAAAGGCGAAAAGAACCCCGGCGAGGGGAGUGAAAAAGAACCUGAAACCGUGUACGUACAAGCAGUGGGAGCACCCUUCGGGGUGUGACUGCGUACCUUUUGUAUAAUGGGUCAGCGACUUAUAUUCUGUAGCAAGGUUAACCGUAUAGGGGAGCCGGAGGGAAACCGAGUCUUAACCGGGCGUUAAGUUGCAGGGUAUAGACCCGAAACCCGGUGAUCUAGCCAUGGGCAGGUUGAAGGUUGGGUAACACUAACUGGAGGACCGAACCGACUAAUGUUGAAAAAUUAGCGGAUGACCUGUGGCUGGGGGUGAAAGGCCAAUCAAACCGGGAGAUAGCUGGUUCUCCCCGAAAGCUAUUUAGGUAGCGCCUCGUGAAUUCAUCUCCGGGGGUAGAGCACUGUUUCGGCUAGGGGGCCAUCCCGGCUUACCAACCCGAUGCAAACUGCGAAUACCGGAGAAUGUUAUCACGGGAGACACACGGCGGGUGCUAACGUCCGUCGUGAAGAGGGAAACAACCCAGACCGCCAGCUAAGGUCCCAAAGUCAUGGUUAAGUGGGAAACGAUGUGGGAAGGCCCAGACAGCCAGGAUGUUGGCUUAGAAGCAGCCAUCAUUUAAAGAAAGCGUAAUAGCUCACUGGUCGAGUCGGCCUGCGCGGAAGAUGUAACGGGGCUAAACCAUGCACCGAAGCUGCGGCAGCGAACGUAUCACCCAAGACAACUUUACGGAGUUGACGAUUGACGGAGCGAAGCGACGUCAAAGCGUUCAUUAAAGUCGAGUUGGCUUAGGGAUACGUUCGUUGGGUAGGGGAGCGUUCUGUAAGCCUGUGAAGGUGUGUCGUGAGGCAUGCUGGAGGUAUCAGAAGUGCGAAUGCUGACAUAAGUAACGAUAAAGCGGGUGAAAAGCCCGCUCGCCGGAAGACCAAGGGUUCCUGUCCAACGUUAAUCGGGGCAGGGUGAGUCGACCCCUAAGGCGAGGCCGAAAGGCGUAGUCGAUGGGAAACGGGUUAAUAUUCCCGUACUUGGUGUUACUGCGAAGGGGGGACGGAGAAGGCUAUGUUGGCCGGGCGACGGUUGUCCCGGUUUAAGCGUGUAGGUGUGUGUUCCAGGUAAAUCCGGUUCACUUUAACACUGAGGCGUGACGACGAGGCACUACGGUGCUGAAGCAACAAAUGCCCUGCUUCCAGGAAAAGCCUCUAAGCAUCAGGUAACAUCAAAUCGUACCCCAAACCGACACAGGUGGUCAGGUAGAGAAUACCAAGGCGCUUGAGAGAACUCGGGUGAAGGAACUAGGCAAAAUGGUGCCGUAACUUCGGGAGAAGGCACGCUGACACGUAGGUGAAGUGAUUUACUCAUGGAGCUGAAGUCAGUCGAAGAUACCAGCUGGCUGCAACUGUUUAUUAAAAACACAGCACUGUGCAAACACGAAAGUGGACGUAUACGGUGUGACGCCUGCCCGGUGCCGGAAGGUUAAUUGAUGGGGUCAGCGCAAGCGAAGCUCCUGAUCGAAGCCCCGGUAAACGGCGGCCGUAACUAUAACGGUCCUAAGGUAGCGAAAUUCCUUGUCGGGUAAGUUCCGACCUGCACGAAUGGCGUAAUGAUGGCCAGGCUGUCUCCACCCGAGACUCAGUGAAAUUGAACUCGCUGUGAAGAUGCAGUGUACCCGCGGCAAGACGGAAAGACCCCGUGAACCUUUACUAUAGCUUGACACUGAACAUUGAGCCUUGAUGUGUAGGAUAGGUGGGAGGCUUUGAAGUGUGGACGCCAGUCUGCAUGGAGCCGACCUUGAAAUACCACCCUUUAAUGUUUGAUGUUCUAACGUGGACCCGUUACCCGGGUUGCGGACAGUGUCUGGUGGGUAGUUUGACUGGGGCGGUCUCCUCCUAAAGAGUAACGGAGGAGCACGAAGGUUGGCUAAUCCUGGUCGGACAUCAGGAGGUUAGUGCAAUGGCAUAAGCCAGCUUGACUGCGAGCGUGACGGCGCGAGCAGGUGCGAAAGCAGGUCAUAGUGAUCCGGUGGUUCUGAAUGGAAGGGCCAUCGCUCAACGGAUAAAAGGUACUCCGGGGAUAACAGGCUGAUACCGCCCAAGAGUUCAUAUCGACGGCGGUGUUUGGCACCUCGAUGUCGGCUCAUCACAUCCUGGGGCUGAAGUAGGUCCCAAGGGUAUGGCUGUUCGCCAUUUAAAGUGGUACGCGAGCUGGGUUUAGAACGUCGUGAGACAGUUCGGUCCCUAUCUGCCGUGGGCGCUGGAGAACUGAGGGGGGCUGCUCCUAGUACGAGAGGACCGGAGUGGACGCAUCACUGGUGUUCGGGUUGUCAUGCCAAUGGCACUGCCCGGUAGCUAAAUGCGGAAGAGAUAAGUGCUGAAAGCAUCUAAGCACGAAACUUGCCCCGAGAUGAGUUCUCCCUGAGACUUAGAGUCUCCUGAAGGAACGUUGAAGACGACGACGUUGAUAGGCCGGGUGUGUAAGCGCAGCGAUGCGUUGAGCUAACCGGUACUAAUGAACCGUGAGGCUUAACCUU
rnacentral:rRNA from 1 species